GGAGGGAUCAUUAUUGGAUACAAACUAUAAAGAGUUUUGGCAUUUUUCUCUUGUGUAAAAGCAAGGGGGUGUCAAGCUCUUUCAAACAAACGAUCACAACUAGUCAAUGACAGACAGGAAUUCGGGGGUCUCUAUAAGUGUUUGCCUGAUAAUACAAUGAUUUGGAAAACAAUAUACAACUUUCAACAACGGAUCUCUUGGCUCUCACAUCGAUGAAGAACAUAGCAAAGUGUGAAAAUUAAUGUGAAUUGCAGAAUUCAGUGAAUCAUUGAGUUUUUGAACGCAUCUUGCACUCCUUGGUAUUCCAGGGAGUAUGCCUGGUUGAGUAAUGUGAACAUAUCACUCGGUUUUCAUCUUGUCAAAGAGAUGAAAUAGACUGGAGUUGAGUGUUUACCUUGAUUGUAAUAAUCAAGGUUCACUUGAAAUGAAGAGAGAAUGACAACACAGGGCUUGGUUGGCCAAGAAAGACAGGCAAAACUCAGAAAACCUCUCUCUUUUUCUCUCGGGAAAGAUUGAGAGGGGAUCAAGAGAAUUAGCUUGAUCAUAACAAUGACUUGAUGAAUCAAACGUGCAUAUCUCUGUUCGUUUAUUUUUGAAAGUCUUGUUUAGAGCUUGAUUCUCUUUUGUUUGUCAGACUUGCCAGCAUUCAAACAAGCACCACCGUUGAUCAUACUCUGCAACUAGGGAAUGACUGUGCGUGUGAUUGACUGAGAGAAAUCUCAUCAAAAACACCGCAACCUUCAUCAUCAUUCUCAACUCAGGCAAGACUACCCGCUGAAUUUAAGCAUAUAAAUAAGCGGAGGAAAAGAAACUAACAAGGAUUCCCCUAGUAACUGCGAGUGAAGCGGGAAAAGCUCAAUUUUGAAAUCUACCAGGACUUAUACUCUUGGUCGAAUUGUAGUUUCAAGAAAGAGUGGCUGAGAGGAGUCAGUUGGGUGCAAGUUCCUUGGAAUGAGACAUCAGAGAGGGUGACAAUCCCGUCCACCACUCUUCUGUUUGCUUCUCAUAAAGGCCCUCUUUUCAAAGAGUCGAGUUGUUUGGGAUUGCAGCUCAAAAUGGGUGGUAAAUUUCAUCUAAAGCUAAAUAUGGGUGAGAGACCGAUAGCGAACAAGUACCGUGAGGGAAAGAUGAAAAGCACUCUGAAGAGAGAGUGAAAAGUACGUGAAAUUGUUGAAAGGGAAACGCUUGAAACCAGUCAAGGUUUGCUAGAUUUCAGGAGAGUCUAUGUGUUGAGCGAGACUGGCUGUAGAGAUUGAUCUUCCAUGGUUGACUCUGCAUUGGUUUCAGCUUGAUCAUGCUUUCUGUACGUUUCUAGUAAACGAGUCAGCAUCAGUUUGGCUGCUUGGGAAAAAGCUAAUAGGAAUCGGUCAAAUCUUUGUGAAUUUCGGUUCUCAGUGGUUUGAGCCUGCUUGGCAUUAUACCAAGUGCUGGACUGAGGACUGCAGUACGGAUCAUCGUCAUGGAAUAGGCUGGCUUGUGAUGUCACUUUGGAUAAACAGCUUGCUGAUUGUUCAUCUUGUCAUUCAAGACUGCCCAAUCUUUGCUGGUUCCGACUUUGGAUGUUGACGAAAUGGUUUUAAACGACCCGUCUUGAAACACGGACCAAGGAGUCUAACAUGGAUGCAAGUAUUUGGGUGAUUGGAAACCCAUAUGCGCAAUGAAAGUGAAAUUUUGAUAGGUAGGACGCCGGGGGUUUAAUUCUCCUAGUCGCACUAUCGACCAAUCUUAACUAGCUUCGGCUUGCUAGAUUUGAGUAAGAGCAUGUAUGUUGGGACCCGAAAGAUGGUGAACUAUGCCUGAAUAGGGUGAAGUCAGACGAAAGUCUGAUGGAAGCUCGUAGCGAUUCUGACGUGCAAAUCGAUCGCCAAAUUUGGGUAUAGGGGCGAAAGACUAAUCGAACCAUCUAGUAGCUGGUUCCUGC
rnacentral:misc_RNA from 1 species